rnacentral:rRNA from 1 species
UACGUAGGGUGCAAGCGUUGUCCGGAAUUAUUGGGCGUAAAGAGCUCGUAGGCGGUUCGUCGCGUCGGCUGUGAAAACCCGGAGCUCAACUCCGGGCCUGCAGUCGAUACGGGCGGACUCGAGUUCGGCAGGGGAGACUGGAAUUCCUGGUGUAGCGGUGAAAUGCGCAGAUAUCAGGAGGAACACCCGUGGCGAAAGCGGCUCUCUGGGACGGUACUGACGCUGAGACGCGAAAGCGUGGGGAGCAAACAGG